rnacentral:tRNA from 1 species
GUUUUUAUAAUUUAAUACAAAAUAUUGGUCUUGUAAACCAAUAAUGGACUUGCACAUCCUAAAAACA